rnacentral:lncRNA from 1 species
UUUUUUUAAAAAGGGCUCAUAUUUGGUGCAACCAAAUGUUUUUCUGUGCAGUUCAAUAUAGCUUUAUAAAUUACAGUAAAGACAUAAACAGGUAUUUGCUUCAUAGGCCAAAAAAAAUAUAAUAUGCUUACUAGGCAAAAAAUUCAAGUUUGUUGUUGAAAAACGUGAUGGUAUGGAGGAUUUUUUCCUGAAAAAAAAGAAUAAAACUGUUGGUCUAAUUCAGUGUUCAUGUGUUAUUUAUACUUUGAUUUUUGUUUGGAUUUUUUUAUGACCAAAAAACCUUAUUUCCAAAUAUGAAUUCCUGAACCUCUACCUCUUUUGUUGGUGAGAUGGAAGAACUUGUGUUAUUUUAUGAUCUCUACUCUGAAUAAUAGAUUUUUAUAGUUAUAAAUCUUUUUUUCCUUUUCAUUUCAAAAUACUGAGUUGAUACAUCUUGAUAUACUGGUUAUAUUGGUAAACAAGAUUUGAAAAUUUUUUAUGAGUUUUUUCUGAUUUUUAUCCAAGUUAUAUCUUUUUCAUUUUAAGUUUUUCAAAUCAUAGGUAAACUUGUGUUAUCAAUUGCCAAUUUUAAAUUUGAAUUGACCUUUUGCAAGAAAAUUGAUUUAACACAUGCAAGUUUUCAGUUGUAAUAUAUUUAUAGUUGCUUCAGGAAUAUUGAUAUAGGAUGCUCAUUUUAUAGUGUUAGCCUGUUUGUCUGUUUGCAAGGAAAUCUCAUCACACUUUAGAUAUGUAGAAUUAUUUGUAUAAUUCAUUAGAUGUUUUAUUAUUGAGAUAUUAUAUGUUUGCAUUUCAAAAACAGCAGCAGUUAUCAACAGGAAAAAGAAAUUUAAGAGGAAACAUGAGAUAAGUUUCAUUUCAUAGAUAUUUUUUUUGUGUAGAUUUAAAUAAGAUAAAAAAGCAUUAAUUUCAAAGUCUUUGAAGAAAUAUGUUUUUUUUAUAAAUGCAUGGGUAAUACAAUAUACUCAUUGUUAAAGGCAAAAUUCUUAGGAUUAUAUAAGAAAUGGUUAGAAUAUAGUUAUGUUCAUGUGGAUGUUUUAUAAUUGAACAGUUACACACAGAUUUUUAUUUUCAUGCACAUACCACUUUGAAAUUUGAAUUGUUAGAGCUUGAAUAUGUACUAGCAAGUUGUGCUUCUUUUGCUCAAUUCAAUCAUCAAUACUUAAUAAUAUGCAUACCAAUGUUGAAGUAAAUGCUGGCAUAUUAAAAAUGUAUUGAAAUGUUCUGUCAAUUGAUUUCUCUUUCCAGAUUUAUUGUUUGUAUAUUGCCUCAAAACAUAUAGGGCAAAACAUUUCUACAACUUUUAUUCAUCAUUUUCUACUUUUGCAGGUUCUGAUCUCAUUAGAUUUACACCAGGGGAUAUUUUGGGGAUUUUGUCUUAAUCAAAGAAUUACCAGAAAAUUAAAUUAAAUAAAAUAUUCUACUUUUAUACAAGAGUCAAUGCAUCUAAAUAGGAGGUUUUUUUUGCAUGGUUGGCUAUAAAUAACUUUAGGAUGUGUCAAUAAUACUUUAUUCAAAUAACUUUCAGCAACUUUGUGGACAUACUAUUCUUAAACUGAACUAAAGUUUUGGAGAAAUAAAAGAAUUAAUUUUUUUAAAAGGCUGAACAUUUUACCAGAGUAUUUUUUGCACAUUUUAUUUUUCCUGAUAAAUAGAUAUAUAUAUAUGUUUAUCUGUUGUUCAUUUUAUCAAUCCCCAUAAACAUUGACUUGAGGCAAUAUGACAUUCUAUAAUUUGUCUUGGUCAAUAUCAUAAAUUUGGGGAAAUACUUUUUUGGUUUAUAAUUAGAAUUAUAAUUUUGUGUUCAACAUUCUGUACAGUUUUAUUUAUGUAAAGAGAAGUUGAAAGACAACGAAAUAUGUGAAUGAAAAAUUGAAAAUUAGAAAUGAAAUUGAAAUGUUAUAUGCAAAAGAAUGUGACUCAAAGUGUUGUUUUGGAUUCAAGCCCUGAAAUGAGUACAUUGUUAAAUGUUGUCUUUUUUUUAUCAUGAUUUUUUUCUCAUUUAGGGAUGUUAAUAAUGAGGGCAGAUGGUUUGUCUUUAAUUUAUAUUUUAUGUAUUCACAACUCAAGACUCCAUGCAAUUUAGGUAUAUAGGAUAGAUGAUAUUUGAUUGUAAGUCUAUUUUUAUUCUAGUUAUUUUAAUAUAACAUAUCUAGAAUUGUUUGAAAUAAGAAUACAUCUGGAAAAAAAAGAAAAAAAUGUUGCCUUUGAAUUUUGUUAAUUUUCAAAAUAAGUGGAAAAAAACAGUAUACACAUUUUUGGAAAAAUCUAAACGGAGAAUGACUGAAAAAUACAAAGUUUUUCUCUGUGUGUUUUACAGUAAGCUAAUUUUUUUUAACUUUUUUAACAAUAUCUGAAUUUAUAUAACAUAUUCAGCGUUUACUUUAACUAAUUUCUUACAGUUUAAAUUAUUUUUUCAAGUUAUGGUGUUCU